rnacentral:rRNA from 1 species
GACGAACGCUGGCGGCGUGCUUAACACAUGCAAGUCGAACGGAAAGGCCCCUUUGGGGGUACUCGAGUGGCGAACGGGUGCGUAACACGUGAGUAACCUUCCCUUGACUUCGGGAUAACUUCAGGAAACUGGGGCUAAUACCGGAUAGGAAUCCUUGCUGCAUGGUGGGGGUUGGAAAGCUUCGGCGGUUUUGGAUGGACUGACGGCUUAUCAGCUUGUUGGUGGGGUAGUGGCUUACCAAGGCUUUGACGGGUAGCCGGCCAGAGAGAGCGACCGGCCACAUUGGGACUGAGAGACGGCCCAGACUCCGACGGGAGGCAGAAGUGGGGAAUAUUGCACAAUGGGCGGCAGCCUGAUGCAGAAACGCCGCGGGCGGGAUGACGGCCUUCGGGUUGGAAACCGCUUUCAGCAGGGGCGAAGCUUGUGGUGACGGUACCUGCAGAAGAAGCACCGGCUAACUACGUG